GCACCCGUAGCUCAGCUGGAUAGAGCGCUGCCCUCCGAAGGCAGAGGUCACAGGUUCGAAUCCUGUCGGGUGUGCCA
rnacentral:tRNA from 1 species